rnacentral:rRNA from 1 species
AGGAUGAACGCUGGCGGCGUGCCUAACACAUGCAAGUCGAGCGGAAAGGCCCUUCGGGGUACUCGAGCGGCGAACGGGUGAGUAACACGUGAGUAAUCUGCCUUCAGCUCUGGGAUAGCUCCGGGAAACCGGGAUUAAUACCGGAUAUGACCACUUCGGACAUCUGUUGUGGUGGAAAGUUUUUCGGCUGGAGAUGAGCUCGCGGCCUAUCAGCUUGUUGGUGGGUAAAGGCCUACCAAGGCGACGACGGGUA